AAUGUAGCCCUAAAGGUUGUUACAUAUAUUAUUAAACAGAUCAUCAUGAUCUGUUUAAUAAUAUAUGUAACAACGUUUGGGCUACAUUUG